rnacentral:rRNA from 1 species
GAUGAACGCUGGCGGCGUGCCUAAUACAUGCAAGUCGAGCGAAUGGAUUAAGAGCUUGCUCUUAUGAAGUUAGCGGCGGACGGGUGAGUAACACGUGGGUAACCUGCCCAUAAGACUGGGAUAACUCCGGGAAACCGGGGCUAAUACCGGAUAACAUCUUGAACCGCAUGGUUCGAAAUUGAAAGGCGGCUUCGGCUGUCACUUAUGGAUGGACCCGCGUCGCUUGAGCUAGUUGGUGAGGUAACGGCUCACCAAGGCAACGAUGCGUAGCCGACCUGAGAGGGUGAGCGGCCACACUGGGACUGAGACACGGCCCAGACUCCUACGGGAGGCAGCAGUAGGGAAUCUUCCGCAAUGGACGAAAGUCUGACGGGGCAACGCCGCGUGAGUGAUGAAGGCUUUCGGGUCGUAAAACCCUGUUGUUAGGGAAGAACAAGUGCUAGUUGAAUAAGCUGGCACCUUGACGGUACCUAACCAGAAAGCCACGGCUAACUACGUGCCAGCAGCCGCCGUAA